UGCAGUUGACGGCGGCCAGCCGCGUCUUGGGGGAUGAGGCAGCCCACGCCGUUCCGGAACUUCCGUUCCAGGAUAACCGGCACGGCGGGGUCCCCGCGGAGUUCCCGUUCCAUUAGGAGGGUGCUGAGGGCCUUGUUGAGGGCCAGCCACGUCCUGUGGGACAUGUGGCUAGUGCCCUCCGGACCCUCAUGCACCCAGAGAAGAAACGGGGAGAUAGGCCGGAGGUCCUGUUGGACAACUGCGGCGGCAAAGGAAUCAGCUGCGUCGGAUCCGACAUGCAGCUGAGCUAAAGCCCUUAACGAGGAAGGGGGGCGAGGAACGGAAUCGUCUCGCUGCGGUUGGGGAGGGGGCUGACGAGGGGCGCCAAGCUCAG